AUUGAACGCUGGCGGCAUGCUUUACACAUGCAAGUCGAACGAAGCCUUCGGGCUUAGUGGCGGACGGGUGAGUAACACGUGGGAACGUACCUUUUGGUUCGGAACAACUCAGGGAAACUUGAGCUAAUACCGGAUGAGCCCUUAGGGGGAAAGAUUUAUCGCCGAAAGAGCGGCCCGCGUUAGAUUAGCUAGUUGGUGAGGUAAAGGCUCACCAAGGCUACGAUCUAUAGCUGGUCUGAGAGGAUGAUCAGCCACACUGGGACUGAGACACGGCCCAGACUCCUACGGGAGGCAGCAGUGGGGAAUCUUGCGCAAUGGGCGAAAGCCUGACGCAGCCAUGCCGCGUGAAUGAUGAAGGCCUUCGGGUCGUAAAGCUCUUUUACCAGGGAUGAUAAUGACAGUACCUGGAGAAUAAGCUCCGGCUAACUCCGUGCCAGCAGCCGCAGUAAUAC
rnacentral:rRNA from 1 species